AACGAACGUUGGCGGCAUGGAUUAGGCAUGCAAGUCGGGGGAAUCCCAGCAAUGGGGGAACCGGCGUAAGGGGCAGUAAGGCAUGGGUACCUACCCCGGGGUUCGGGAUAGCCAUCAGAAAUGGUGGGUAAUACCGGAUGACCUCGUGAGAGCAAAGAUUUAUCGCCCUGGGAGGGGCCCAUGUGAUAUUAGCUAGUUGGUGGGGUAACGGCUCACCAAGGCUUAGAUGUCUAGCGGGUGUGAGAGCACGACCCGCGCCACUCGCACUGAGACACUGGCGAGACACCUACGGGUGGCUGCAGUCGAGAAUCUUCGGCAAUGGGCGCAAGCCUGACCGAGCGAUGCCGCGUGCGCGAUGAAGGCCUUCGGGUUGUAAAGCGCUGUCGAGGGGGAGAAAAGCCGAAAGGUUUGAUCUAUCCCUGGAGGAAGCACGGGCUAAGUUCGUGCCAGCAGCCGCCGUAAAAC
rnacentral:rRNA from 1 species